GAGCAGAGUCAUCCAGAAGCUGUGAGGAGCGAUCUUUGCUGUCAUGAGGGAGAGCAGGAGCUUCGCUGCCUCUGUGAACUUCUUCUCUCCGUACAGCCGGUGGAACUCACGAUGGAGGUAAAGCACAGUGUCGAGUGUGUAAUGUGAAGAUGGAUGUCUCACCUGUGAUGAGAGAAGAGUCCAGAGGCGUACUCCAGCACCAGGAACUCCCUCAGGUGCUUGGGGUUUACAUUAUGACACCUGAAGCGUGUGAUGGUCGACAGGAGUUUGUUGUUAUUUACUGUGACUGCAGCUUGGAGACUGAUACUGAUUAAAUGGAAAGACUCUAUUCCACCGACAUUCAACCACUCGAUAAGGGAAGUCAUGUACCAUCUUAAGCUGGAGAAAAUUAGAGCUCAGCUCUUACUGGAGGUUGUGCGACUGCAGGAGUUUGCAGUGAUCCAGCAGGUCAGUCAGGUGAGCCACAAACCACCAGUUAUUCAGGGCAAUGCUGCAGAUCGAUAAACACAAUAAACACACACACACACACACACACACUUCAAAUACAAAGCUUAACAUACUGUACAAAUAUGAAUUAGUUUCUACAUUUCCCAUAAGACUAACAAUGAAGAUUGAAGAGAUAAACAUCACAAUAAACAAGCACAAAGAUGUGUUUUGACAGAAUGUGAAAUAAAUGAGCCCCGCCAACAGUACAAGCAGAUACCAUGAGCAACUCCUAACCUUCACUGUAAAAUACAUGAGACAGAGAGAGAGAGAGAGAGAGAGAAUGAGAGAGAAAUGAAAGAGAGAUGAGAGAGUGAUGAGAGAUUAGAGAGAGAGAGAGAGAGAGAGAGAGAGAGAGGGAGAGAUGGGACAGAGAUAGGUGAGAGAGAGAAUGAGAGAGAAAUGAAAGAGAGAGGUGAGAGAGAUGAGAGAGGUGAGUGUGUUUAGUUCGGUGUGUAUAAUAUAUAUAUAUAUAGCUCUCACCUGCAGUCUUUAAUAACUUGGUGAAGGUCGAACUCAAACGCAGCCAGUAAGAUGCUGUCCAGAGGCUCCGGAGCGCUGUGAGACUCCAGGAACAUGUCCAUACUCGACUAGAAACACACACACACAC